UCCUCUUCUUUUCUUCUCCUCCUAGUCUUAUUUUGUUCUCCCCUUUUUCUUCUACCUCUCUUCUUCUUCUACUUCUCCUGUUCUUCUAUUUUUCCUCUUCUUCCCCGCUCCUCCUCUUCUUGUUCUCCUUCUUCUUCUUUUCCUCCUCUUCUUCCUCUCCUCCUCUUCCUCUAAUAAUUCUAAAACAGAAUUAACCUAAAACCUAAUUCUAAAUAUUACUAACCCUAAUAAUUCUAACGAAAAACAAAAUUAAUCUAAAACAAAAUUAAAAAAACUUUAUUCCCUCUCCUUCCUCGUCCUCUUCUUCCUCUCCUUCCUCUUCUCCUCCUCCUCUUCUUCCUCUU
rnacentral:lncRNA from 1 species